UUCUUUCUCGCCCCGAAACCGUCACUCCCCCGGUCGCGCUGAAAUCAUCGUGCGCCGCCCGCAAACGCCUCCCCCAACCGCUCACCGCUCGCAACUCCCCUAGCCGCUCGCCCCGUCCGCAGCGCGUGGGCUGCAGCCAGUCCUUCACUGCUCGCGCCUCCGUCCGCCGCUCCCCCAAUCCACCUCUCCUUCGGCGCUGUCCCCUACCGCCAUACCAACGCCCCACACCUAGCCAGAGACGAUGAUGGUGGGGCUCGGCUCUAUGGCGGGCUAUGGGAUCCAUUCGAUGCUCAAGGAGGGCCAUUGAUACCUCUCCGGGCUCGAGGAGGCUGCACUCAAGAACAUCGACGCCUGCCUCGACUGGGAAAUUGGAAUGGAGGACAUCAGGUCGACUACCUCACCGCGACACUGCCCGACUGUCACCACGACACUCUUACUGGCCAACUAGGCACUAGCGGCUCCCGGCUGGUCGAGUCGCCGAGGGGCGAGCCGGCGCUCGACGACGAUGCUGGCUCUGGCUGGCUAGUCGUACCCAAACGGUGAAGCCAUGGAGGGCGGACCGACGGUCGACCGUCGACGGGCGCACUCCGAAGUGACCGGACGAACGUCGUCGGUGGGCGGAGGGCGGAACGCGGACCGGCGGUCGGCGGACGGGCACCGGACGACCGACGGCGACGAUGCACGGGCGGACGGGCGUGUCGUGCGCGCAGAGCAGGUGAAGGCGGCUAGCGGCCGGCGGGCGUCUGCGUCGAGCGUGCCCACUGCCCAGGCAACAAAACGAUAGGGGGCCUGGGAAUUGGGAUUGAAGGCUGCGAGUUGCAGGCCUUUGAGGCCCAUUUAGGGUUUUUUUUACCAAAAAUCUAUACAUAUAUAAGAAUGUUUUUGGGCUACGACCCGGGCCACGGCCCAGGUGGCCCAGGCCUAAUAUCUGCCCCUGCUUAUGGCCAUACAUGCAUGGAUCAAAAACACUUCACAUGUUUUCUUUUGAGUUGCUCAAUUUUCUCAAGUUAAUCCGCACCUUCCUAGCCCAACUUGCCGAGAUCCGAGCGGUGGUGGCAGCCGCCUUCCUCGCCUCGCCCUCUGCCACCGUGGUCAUCGACGACAAGGGCAGUGACGACGGGAGUAUCCUGCAGCUUUCCUCCAUCGCCAACUUCAUAGUCUCCCACUGCUCAAGUGGGCUGGACAGUGAUAUCCAGCGACGGUGGUGUAGUGGGAGUGGGACGACGAGGAGGUUAAGGGCGGCGACGGCGAGGUGCGGAGCUCCUACGGGCUCCGCCAUCAACACCAUGGAUACACUCCAAGAGGCCCCUUCAGCUCCAUUGGAGGCUACAGCUGCCCUCUACACUAUACAGUUUGCAGUAUAUUUCUUCUUCUCGGAGGAGGAUGAACGGAUUUCCAGCACCCUAUUUUCAACAUCGAGGAGGAUGAACAUUCUACGAAAUCAAAAGGACCCCUUAAGUUCUACAACUCAGAGGCUGCACUUGGGGAAUCAAAGAAAAGUGAAAGUGCCAUGUCAAAGUUGAUGACCAGAAGCUUGCUAUUGGAACCCUCUCUAUUGAAAAAUACCCCUAGAUAGAAAUUGAUUUGGUUUUCAAUAAAGAGUAUGAAGAGAAGGAGCUAAACAUUCCAGUAAUCAAGGAAAAUGCUAACUGGGAGGUGUUGCGGCUCCUCUGCAACUGCACGUACCUUGGUUAGCCUUACUCAACCUCUUGCAUCCCCUCUUGCUUGCUUUCUCUAACUGUAGGGAUUUCUCGAGUUAGGAUUCUGUUUGCUUCUCACGGUGGGCUUAAUCAUUAGUUAGAGAGAUCUAGCAAUAGCUCCAACAUAUUGCCACGGGAAAACAUGCACAACAAGGUUAUUAAUUUCUUACAAACAUCCAUGAUACUCCUGAUAUCUCUGUCCUUUUGUGUGGAUCCACAAUAUCAACCAUUUUGCUUGGUGCAAGUGGAUCAGGUUAGGGAAAAUCUACUAACACACGAAACAGAAUGUCAAUAUGGUUUAAUUUUUUUAAUUAGAUUGUCUAAUUUGCAAUUUCUUCACUCCAAAAGUUCCGAUCUGUAGGUUUCUGUACAAAAAUGCACUCCAAAAGUGUUUUUGGAUCAACAAAUGUUUUUAUAAUUCACGGCGGGAGGAUAAACUGGAAAACAAGUAUUCCAACGAAUGAGAAGUACAAGUCCAUGGAGUUCACCACGUGAAGGCUGUGGCUGUUUACAAAAGCAGUCUGUAGUGAUUUACUCCACAAAAUUUGCGAGAGUUCAAGCUGGACCAGUGGACUUCGACUUCACUGGCAGGCCUCUGGUUCUUGGACGCUUGUACAAGAGGCGAGUGAUUACACAUAGAUGCAUUUUCCCCAUGUUCUGGGUCAUCAAAUUAUUAUUCAUUAGCUUGUGAUCAGAGCAGUUUUGACGCAUGCCACUAUUGAAGAAAUCGAAGCAGAGAAGUCCCUCAUGGAAGACCAAGUUGUAUGUUUAAUGUAUCUACAUUGGAAGGCCCAGUUGCAGUUCCUAGCAGACUGUUUCUUAACAGGAGCCUUUCCAGCAGCUCUUACUUGAGGGAAAAGAAAGGGUGCAUGUUUGGACAAAAUCCAGCAGCAAAAGCACUCGGCCAUUCUAGCAGCAACACUUAUUUAGUAAGUGGAAAAUAUUCUUGAAGCAAAUGGGGACUCCGUGUGGAGCAAAGACUGAACAUCACAAUGCAUCAAGACGAUUGGGUCCUGCAUUUGAAUGGAGGAUGGUCCUUGAGACCUUUGUCUGUCAAAUCAUACGACAUGCUGAAUUAUUUGCUAGGCUGUGAUGACAUUAUGUAUGGGCUAAAAUAGACAAUAAGUUUAAGUGUGUUACAAGGGAAAAUGAUUUUGUUGUAUCUCAUAUUGAAAUCUAAGCUGCACCUCUUGUGA